GAUAAACGCUAGCUACAGGCUUAACACAUGCAAGUCGAGGGGUAACGAGAGGGAAGCUUGCUUUCCUUGUCGACGACCGGCGCACGGGUGAGUAACGCGUAUCCAACCUGCCCCCAACUAGGGAAUAACCUUGCGAAAGUAGGACUAAUACCCUAUAAUUUCCUCAGAUGUCAUCUGACGAGGAAUAAAGAUUUAUCGGUUGUGGAUGGGGAUGCGUCUGAUUAGCUUGUUGGCGGGGUAACGGCCCACCAAGGCAACGAUCAGUAGGGGUUCUGAGAGGAAGGUCCCCCACAUUGGAACUGAGACACGGUCCAAACUCCUACGGGAGGCAGCAGUGAGGAAUAUUGGUCAAUGGGCGGAAGCCUGAACCAGCCAAGUAGCGUGCAGGAUGACGGCCCUAUGGGUUGUAAACUGCUUUUAUACAGGAAUAAAGUUAGCCACGUGUGGUUAUUUGUAGGUACUGUAUGAAUAAGGACCGGCUAAUUCCGUGCCAGCAGCCGCGGUAA
rnacentral:rRNA from 1 species